UUGGAGGGCAAGUCUGGUGCCAGCAGCCGCGGUAAUUCCAGCUCCAAUAGCGUAUAUUAAAGUUGUUGCAGUUAAAAAGCUCGUAGUUGAAUUUCGGGAUCAAUUUAUCGGUCGUGCCUCUGGUAUGCACUGGUAUUAUUGAUUUCUACCUUCUGACGAACCAUGAUGUCAUUAAUCUGGUGUCAUGGGGAAUCAGGACUGUUACUUUGAAAAAAUUAGAGUGUUUAAAGCAAGCACACGCUUGAAUACAUUAGCAUGGAAUAAUGAAAUAGGACGUUUGACCCUAUUUUGUUGGUUUCUAGGAUCGACGUAAUGAUUAAUAGGGAUAGUUGGGGGCAUUAGUAUUCAAUUGUCAGAGGUGAAAUUCUUGGAUUUAUUGAAGACUAACUACUGCGAAAGCAUUUGCCAAGGAUGUUUUCAUUAAUCAAGAACGAAAGUUAGGGGGUCGAAGACGAUCAGAUACCGUCGUAGUCUUAACCAUAAACUAUGCCGACUAGGGAUCGGAUGAUGUUAAUUUUUUAAUGACUCAUUCGGCGCCUUACGGGAAAC
rnacentral:rRNA from 1 species